rnacentral:rRNA from 1 species
GACGAACGCUGGCGGCACGCUUAACACAUGCAAGCCGAACGGAGAUAAUUUGAGUUUACUUAGAUUAUCUUAGUGGCGGACGGGUGAGUAACACGUGAGCAACCUACCUUUGAGAGAGGGAUAGCUUCUGGAAACGGAUGGUAAUACCUCAUAACGUAGUUUUACCGCAUGAUAGGACUACCAAAGAUUUAUCACUCAAAGAUGGGCUCGCGUCUGAUUAGCUAGAUGGUGAGGUAACGGCUCACCAUGGCGACGAUCAGUAGCCGGACUGAGAGGUUGAACGGCCACAUUGGGACUGAGACACGGCCCAGACUCCUACGGGAGGCAGCAGUGGGGAAUAUUGCACAAUGGGGGAAACCCUGAUGCAGCGAUGCCGCGUGGAGGAAGAAGGUUUUCGGAUUGUAAACUCCUGUCUUAAAGGACGAUAAUGACGGUACUUUAGGAGGAAGCUCCGGCUAACUACGUG